rnacentral:rRNA from 1 species
AUAAUCAUUAGUCUCUUAAUUAGAGAAUGGAAUGAAUGGCCUAACGUAGUUUUAUUUUUUUAUUUAACUUAUCUGAAUUUAAAUUUGAAGUGAAAAUGCUUUAUUUUCUUUUUAGACGAUAAGACCCUUUAGAGUUUUAUUUAUUUUUUUUUAUUAUCAAAAUUAGUAUAAUUUAAUUAUUUAAAAUAAAUUUUAUUGGGGCAAUAAAAGAAUAAAUUUAACUUCUUUAUACUGGUUACUAUAAAUUUUAUUAACUUACUUUUAUAAAUAAAAUAACAAACUACCUAAGGGAUAACAGCGUUAUUAAAAUUAAGAGUUCUUAUCGACAUUUUAGUUUGCGACCUCGAUGUUGAAUUAAAAAUCCCCAAGGGGGCAGCUUCUUUUUAGGGUAGUCUGUUCGACUAUAAAAUUUUUACAUGAUUUGAGUUCAAAUCGGCGUGA